CCUAGUCUCAACCAUAAACGAUGCCGACCAGGGAUCGGCGGAUGUUGCUUAUAGGACUCCGCCGGCACCUUAUGAGAAAUCAAAGUCUUUGGGUUCCGGGGGGAGUAUGGUCGCAAGGCUGAAACUUAAAGGAAUUGACGUAAGGGCACCACCAGGCGUGGAGCCUGCGGCUUAAUUUGACUCAACACGGGGAAACUUACCAGGUCCAGACAUAGCAAGGAUUGACAGACUGAGAGCUCUUUCUUGAUUCUAUGGG
rnacentral:ncRNA from 1 species